GACGAACGCUGGCGGCGUGCCUAAUACAUGCAAGUCGAGCGCAGGAAACUGACGGAACUCUUCGGAGGGAAGGCAGCGGGAUGAGCGGCGGACGGGUGAGUAACACGUAAGGAACCUGCCUCAAGGAUUGGGAUAACUCCGAGAAAUCGGAGCUAAUACCGGAUAGUUCAUCGGACCGCAUGGUCCGCUGAUGAAAGGCGCUCCGGCGUCACCUUGAGAUGGCCUUGCGGUGCAUUAGCUAGUUGGUGGGGUAACGGCCCACCAAGGCGACGAUGCAUAGCCGACCUGAGAGGGUGAUCGGCCACACCGGGACUGAGACACGGCCCAGACUCCUACGGGAGGCAGCAGUAGGGAAUCUUCCACAAUGGACGAAAGUCUGAUGGAGCGACGCCGCGUGAGUGAUGAAGGUUUUCGGAUCGUAAAACUCUGUUGUAAGGGAAGAACACGUACGAGAGGGAAUGCUCGUACCUUGACGGUACCUUACGAGAAAGCCACGGCUAACUACGUGCCAGCAGCCGCGGUAA
rnacentral:rRNA from 1 species